AAUCAACGCUGGCGGCGUGCCUAACACAUGCAAGUCGAACGAGAAAGUGGAGCAAUCCAUGAGUAAAGUGGCGACCGGGUGAGUAACACGUACCUAACCGGCCCUAGGGUGGGGGAUAACCCCGGGAAACCGGGGCUACACCCGCAUAAAAACCCAAGGGGAAGAACAUGUUGAUCAAAGGAUCAAUUCGCUCCGGGAGGGGGUCGCGGCUGAUUAGUUAGUUGGCGGGGUAACGGCCCACCAAGACGAAGAUCAGUAGCCGGCCUGAGAGGGCGCACGGCCACACUGGAACUGAAACACGGUCAGACUCCUACGGGAGGCAGCGGUGGGGAAUUUUGCGCAAUGGGGGAAACCCUGACGCAGCAACGCCGCGUGGAGGAUGAAGUCCCUUGGGAUGUAAACUCCUUUCGAUCGGGACGAUAAUGACGGUACCGGAAGAAGAAGCACCGGCUAACUCUGUGCCAGCCGCCGCGGUAACAC
rnacentral:rRNA from 1 species